CCAAGGUGUAUAUCCAAAGUAGUUGAUGUUUUAGAGUCAGAAAUGUAAGUGUCUCCAGUGGAGCAAGACAGUAACAAAUAUAGACACUGUCAUCGAUGUCACAAAACUCUUUGUUCCCUACAUGCAGGUAAAAUCUUUCAAAUCAAAGGUGGCAUGUCAUGUAAAACAAAUCAAAGGUGUCAUGUCAUGUAACACAAAAAAAGUCUUUACAUGCUGAAAUGUCCUUGUAGUCUAACUUACGUAGGAAAAACUUACAGGGUAACA